AUGGCGGCUGCACCAUCAUCUGCCCGCAUUCCCAUCAUCAUCCUCCUCCUACUGCUAGCACUCUCUGUCGUCUCUGCUUCCUCCUUCUCUUCGAGUCCAGCCAACGGCAGUGACACGGACCUCUCAGCGCUGCUGGCUUUCAAGGCCGCGCUCAUCGACCCUCGUGGUGUCCUUGCCGGCAACUGGACCGGCACGUCCUUCUGCCACUGGAUAGGAGUCUCGUGCAGCCACCGGCGGCAGCGCGUCACGGCUCUAACGUUGUUAGACACGCCUCUUUCUGGACAUAUUGCUCCCCACCUUGGUAAUCUCUCUUUCCUCUCUGUUCUUGAUCUCACUGGUAACAACCUUACGGGUUCCAUCCCGCCAGAGCUUGGCAGGCUACACCGACUUAGAUAUCUCCGUCUUAGAGAAAAUAGCCUGUCAGAUGGCAUUCCUGUUGUCCUAGGGAACCUCACAAGGCUUGAGGUCCUUAAUCUAGCUCUUCACCAACUCUCUGAACUGGAUGAGGCUACGGACUGGGACUUGGCCACCGUUUCCACUCGAGCCACCAUCACCGGGUGCGACUCCAACCAUUGCUCGGCCGCGGCCCCGCCGUGCCGGCGCUUCUCCAACCUGCCGCUGUGGCUGCGGCCCCGCGUCACCGCUUCGUUGCUCCCAUCGAAGACCGGCGUCGCCUCUCCCUUUUGCUACCGCUCCACCCGGUCGUGGGUCGUUGAACCGUCAGGUUCCCCCGGGCUGCAUGGGCCCUCUGCUCCGGUUUGCUCUCUGCGGGGUCGUCUCGCCGGUCUGAUUCCUCUGUUGCAAGCCGCAUCCUCCACUACAAACCACCUCGUCGGGUUAACUGCAACGCCCACCAUGUUCCUCCCGCUGACUCACCGACGUCACUGCGGGUCAUCGUCCUUUGCCCUGCGAUGUUGCGGGUUCCCGCGGGUUGUCGUUGGUCGCACCUCCGCGGGCCUCAUCAGCUCACCGGUUCACUGCUGCAGCCCGCAUGGAUCAUGCGUCGAACCGGAGCAUCUGAUUCUACCGGCUGCUGUCGAGCCGUCGUCGCCUUCACUAGUUUCUGCAGCUGUGACAUGCCUUCUCUUUGGGCCGCUACCUCUAUCAAUCCGGCUGUCACGGCCGAUUCACAACGGCAAAAAGUCGUCAGAAUAUGAUCAUGUUCAUCUAGAAGAAGAGAAUCUGCUCAUGUUUGCUUCUGCUGUGGUUUGCCUCGCCGUCUGCCAUUGCCUCCGUGGCCAGGUUACGCCGCGCAUUGCUGCCGCUUUAAAAUGA
rnacentral:rRNA from 1 species